GUUUUUGGUUCAAUUAACUGGUCAGUUUCACGCGUCGUCACCUUCGGUUCAAUUAAGCUCAGCUUUACAAUUAACCUGCCAGUUUCACAGGUUGUCACCUUCGUUUCAAUUAAGCUCUUUGACAAGUCAGCUUUACAUCAGUCUGGCUUGACUUAGGCUCGACAUUGCCGUGCCGCAAGCUUCCACUCUCGCCUCUGCUGUCUUCGCUGGAACUCGUCUGCCCGUGCUCCUCCUGAGGCAGGCAGGCAUUUUUGACAAUAUCAAAGAAUGGAUGCUAAGGAGCAACGAAGGAAGAGAGAAAGAGAGCGCUAUGCAGAGAUGACCGACGAAAAAAAACAGGAAAAACUCAAAAAACGCCGCGAAGCC